rnacentral:rRNA from 1 species
GACGAACGCUGGCAGCGUGCUUAACACAUGCAAGUCGAGCGGAGCGGCGAACGGGUGAGUAACGCGUGAGUAACUGCCCCCCUCCCUGGGGUAACAGUUGGAAACGGCUGCUAAUACCGGAUAGUGUGGGAUGACUCGCGUCCUAUCAGCUUGUUGGGGGGGUAGUGGCCUACCAAGGCGACGACGGGUAGCCGGCCUGAGAGGGCGACCGGCCACAUGGGGCUGAGAUACGGCGCAAACUCCUACGGGAGGCAGCAGGGGGGAAUAUUGCACAAUGGUGGAAACUCUGAGGCAGAAACGCCGGGGGCGGGAUGACGGCCUUCGGGUUGUAAACCGCUUUCAGCCAUGACGCGGUAGUGGCAGAAGAAGCACCGGCUAACUACGUGCCAGCAGCCGCGGUAAUUC